UGGCACUUAAGGCUAAGUCAUAUAGGAGAAGACAAGAUUAAUAGAUUGGAGAAAAUCAGACUUUUGGAUCCAUUGACUUCUGAGUCAUAUCCAGUCUGUGAAUCGUCCCUUCAAAAAAAAUGAUCAAGCUUCCCUUUGAAGGACACGGGAAAAAGACUAUGGAGAUACUUGCUCUGAUACACACUAGUGUGUGUGGCCCAUUCGAUGUGCCAGCCAG
rnacentral:lncRNA from 1 species